CUGUGCCGAACCGCAAGGAGGCAGGCGCCCAAGGAGGUAGCUGGUAACUGGGGUG
rnacentral:rRNA from 1 species